UACGUAGGGUGCAAGCGUUGUCCGGAAUUAUUGGGCGUAAAGAGCUCGUAGGCGGUUUGUCGCGUCUGCUGUGAAAACUGGGGGCUCAACCCCCAGCCUGCAGUGGGUACGGGCAGACUAGAGUGCGGUAGGGGAGAUUGGAAUUCCUGGUGUAGCGGUGGAAUGCGCAGAUAUCAGGAGGAACACCGAUGGCGAAGGCAGCUCGCUGGGACGGUACUGACGCUGAGGCGCGAAAGCGUGGGGAGCAAACAGG
rnacentral:rRNA from 1 species